GGUUAAGUUAAAAAGGGCGCAUGGUGGAUGCCUUGGCACUAGAAGCCGAUGAAGGACGGGACUAACACCGAUAUGCUUCGGGGAGCUGUACGUAAGCUUUGAUCCGGAGAUUUCCGAAUGGGGAAACCCAGCAGUUUUAAUCGACUGUUACUAUAUAGUGAAUUCAUAGCUGUAUAGAGGUAGACGUGGGGAACUGAAACAUCUCAGUAUCCACAGGAGCAGAAAGAAAUUUUCGAUUCCCUCAGUAGCGGCGAGCGAACGGGGAACAGCCCAAACCAAUGAGCUUGCUCAUUGGGGUUGUAGGACUGAACAUUUGAGUUACCAAAGUUGUUGAUAAUCGAACAAUCUGGGAAGGUUGGCGAAACAGGGUGAUAGCCCCGUAGGUGAAAUCAAUGACCCUCAGUUCAGGAUCCUGAGUACGGCGACACACGUGAAACGUCGUCGGAAUCCGGGAGGACCAUCUCCCAAGGCUAAAUACUCUCUAGUGACCGAUAGUGAACCAGUACCGUGAGGGAAAGGUGAAAAGCACCCCGGAAGGGGAGUGAAAUAGUUCCUGAAACUAUGUGCCUACAAGCAGUUAGAGCCCGUUAAUGGGUGAUAGCGUGCCUCUUGUAGAAUGAACCGGCGAGUUACGGUAACAUGCCAGGUUAAGGUUUAAAAGCCGGAGCCGCAGCGAAAGCGAGUCUGAAAUGGGCGUUUUAGUAUGUUGCUGUAGACCCGAAACCAGGUGAUCUACCCAUGUCCAGGGUGAAGGUGCGGUAAAACGCACUGGAGGCCCGAACCCGUGUACGUUGAAAAGUGCUGGGAUGAGGUGUGGGUAGCGGUGAAAUUCCAAACGAACUUGGAGAUAGCUGGUUCUCUCCGAAAUAGCUUUAGGGCUAGCCUCGGACGUAGAAUCAUGGAGGUAGAGCCACUGUUUGGAUGAGGGGCCCGUCAUGGGUUACUAAGUUCAGAUAAACUCCGAAUACCAUUGAUUUUUAUCCGGGAGUCAGACGGUGAGUGAUAAGAUCCAUCGUCAAAAGGGGAACAGCCCAGACCACCAGUUAAGGUCCCUAAAUAUAUGCUAAGUGGAAAAGGAUGUGGAGUUGCAUAGACAACUAGGAUGUUGGCUCAGAAGCAGCCACCAUUUAAAGAGUGCGUAAUAGCUCACUAGUCGAGUGAUUCCGCGCCGAAAAUUUACCGGGGCUAAGCAUAUUACCGAGACUGUGGACUUGACCUUCGGUCAAGUGAUAGGAGAGCGUUCUAAGGGCAAUGAAGCCAGACCGUAAGGACUGGUGGAGCGCUUAGAAGUGAGAAUGCCGGUAUGAGUAGCGAAAGAUCAGUGAGAAUCUGAUCCACCGAAUGACUAAGGUUUCCUGGGGAAGGCUCGUCCUCCCAGGGUUAGUCGGGACCUAAGCCGAGGCCGCAAGGCGUAGGCGAUGGAUAACAGGUUGAGAUUCCUGUACUAGUUGAUGAUGUUUGAGCGAUGGAGGGACGCAGGAGGCUAAGUUGUGCAUCCAGUUGGAAAGGGAUGUUCAAGCCACGAGUCAGUCAAAGAGUCAAAUGCUUUUUGGCGGGUUGACAAGUGGUGAUGAGGACCGAAAUUUAAGUAGGGAAGCAACCAACGUCACACUGCCGAGAAAAGCUUCUAGUGAGUCAUCAACUACCCGUACCGCAAACCGACACAGGUAGUCGAGGAGAGAAUCCUCAGGUGAGCGAGUGAACUCUCGUUAAGGAACUCGGCAAAAUGACCCCGUAACUUCGGAGAAGGGGUGCUGUGCGCAAGCACAGCCGCAGUGAAAAGGCCCAGGCGACUGUUUAUCAAAAACACAGGUUUCUGCAAAAUCGUAAGAUGACGUAUAGGGGCUGACGCCUGCCCGGUGCUGGAAGGUUAAGUGGAUGAGUUAGCUUCGGCGAAGCCCAGAAAUGAAGCCCCAGUAAACGGCGGCCGUAACUAUAACGGUCCUAAGGUAGCGAAAUUCCUUGUCGGGUAAGUUCCGACCCGCACGAAAGGCGUAACGAUCUGGGCACUGUCUCAACGAGAGACUCGGUGAAAUUAAGAUACCUGUGAAGAAGCAGGUUACCCGCGACAGGACGGAAAGACCCCAUGGAGCUUUACUGUAGCUUGAUAUUGGGUGUUGACACAGCUUGUACAGGAUAGGUAGGAGCCAUUGAAGCCGGAACGCUAGUUUCGGCAGAGGCGUUGGUGGGAUACUACCCUCGCUGUGUGAACACUCUAACCCGCGCCACUCAGCGUGGCGGGAGACAGUGUCAGGUAGGCAGUUUGACUGGGGCGGUCGCCUCCCAAACAGUAACGGAGGCGCCCAAAGGUUCCCUCAGAAUGGUUGGAAAUCAUUCAACGAGUGUAAAGGCAGAAGGGAGCUUGACUGCGAGACAGACAGGUCGAGCAGGGACGAAAGUCGGGCUUAGUGAUCCGGUGGUACCGUAUGGAAGGGCCAUCGCUCAACGGAUAAAAGCUACCCUGGGAUAACAGGCUUAUCUCCCCCAAGAGUCCACAUCGACGGGGAGGUUUGGCACCUCGAUGUCGGCUCAUCGCAUCCUGGGGCUGUAGUCGGUCCCAAGGGUUGGGCUGUUCGCCCAUUAAAGCGGUACGCGAGCUGGGUUCAGAACGUCGUGAGACAGUUCGGUCCCUAUCCGUCGCGGGCGUAGGAAAUUUGAGAGGAGCUGUCCUUAGUACGAGAGGACCGGGAUGGACAUACCGCUGGUGUACCAGUUGCGCCGCCAGGCGCACCGCUGGGUAGCUACGUAUGGAUGAGAUAAACGCUGAAAGCAUCUAAGUGUGAAACUUACCUCAAGAUGAGAUUUCCCAUUCCUAUAUGGAAGUAAGACCCCUGAGAGAUGAUCAGGUAGAUAGGUUGGAAGUGGAAGUGCAGUGAUGUACGGAGCGGACCAAUACUAAUCGGUCGAGGACUUAACCAA
rnacentral:rRNA from 1 species